AGCGGGUCUCUCCGCAUAACAAUGUCGGACAACGGGUCAGGGGCGGAAGCCAGCAGCCCACCCGAGAGCGUUAGUGCCGGAGGUUCGGCUCGCUACC
rnacentral:SRP_RNA from 1 species